GACGUAGGGUGCGAGCGUUGUCCGGAUUUAUUGGGCGUAAAGAGCUCGUAGGCGGCUCGUCGCGUCUGCCGUGAAAACCCGCAGCUCAACUGCGGGCUUGCGGUUGAUACGGGCGGGCUGGAGUUCGGUAGGGGAGACUGGAAUUCCUGGUGUAGCGGUGAAAUGCGUAGAGAUGCGGAAGAACACCAGUGGCGAAGGCGGUCAACUGGCCUCAUAUUGACACUCAGACGCGAAGGCAUGGGUAGCGAACGGG
rnacentral:rRNA from 1 species